GCCUGGGUGGCUCAGUCGGCUGAGCGUCUGACUUCGGCUCAGGUCAUGAUCUCGCGGUCUGUGAGUUCGAGCCCCACGUCGGGCU
rnacentral:tRNA from 1 species